AGAGUUUGAUCAUGGCUCAGGAUGAAUGUUGGCGUCGUGCCUAAGGCAUGCAAGUCGAGCGAUUUUAAUUGGUAGCUUGCUACUAAUUAAUAUAGCGGCGAACGGGUGUAAAACGAGUAGAUAAUCUGCCCUUGACUUCGAGAUAGUCCGGCGAAAGCUGGGGUAAUACCGGAGAUGUCAUGAGAAUGGAAAUAUCAUGACCAAAGCAGUAAUGCGGUCAAGGAGGAGUCUGCUUCCUAUCAGCUUGUUGGCGGGGUAAAUGCCCACCAAGGCUAUGACGGGUAGCUGGUCUGAGAGGAUGAUCAGCCACAUGGGGACUGAGACACGGCCCUGACACCUACGGGUGGCAGCAACUAGGAAUAUUGGACAAUGGGCGAAAGCCUGAUCCAGCGACGACGCGUGGAGGAUGAAGAAUUUAGGUUUGUAAACUCCUUUUGUAUGGAAAUAAGCCGCAAGGUGAAGGUACCAUACGAAUAAGCAGCGGCUAACUACGUGCCAGCAGCAGCGGUUAUACGUAGGCUGCAAACAUUAUCCGGAAUCAUUGGGCGUAAAGAGAUGCGUAGGCUUCUUGAUAAGUUCUUGGUGAAAGCUCCCGGCUCAACCGGGAAACUGCUGAGAAAACUAUCAGGAUAGAGUGGGGAAAAGGUGAUUAGAACUCCUGGAGGAGUAGUAAAAUGCGUUGAUACCAGGAAGAAUACCAACGGCGAAGGCAAUUCACUAGUCCUAAAAAUUGUAUUAAUAGAUUACUGGGCAUAGCCCUUUAGUAAUUUAUUAAUACUACACUGACGCUAAGGCUCGAAAGCGUGGGGAGCGAAACGGAUUAGAUACCCGUGUAGUCCACGCCCUAAACAAUCCUUGCUAGAUGUUUAGUUAUUUCGAUAGGAGACCUUCGGGUUGAAUAUUGGGUUAAUUAGGUGUCACAGUUAACACGUUAAGCAAGGCGCCUGGGGAGUACGAUCGCAAGAUUAAAACUCAAAGGAAUUGACGGGGAUCCGCACAAGCGGUGGAGCGCGUGGUUUAAUUCGUUAACAAACGAAGAACCUUACCAAGGUUUGACAUCUAUAGAAUCUCUGGGAAACUAGAGAGUGCCCGCAAGGGAGCUAUAAGACAGGUGUUGCAUGGCUGUCGUCAGUUCGUGUUGUGAGAUGUUGGGUUAAGUCCCUUAACGAGCGCAACCCUUACUGUAUGUUACAUCUCUUACAGGACUGCCACGCUAAAACGUGGAGGAAGGUAGGGAUGACGUCCAGUCCUCAUUGCCCUUAUACCUUGGGCUACACACACGCUACAAUGGACGAGACAAAGGGUCGCCAAGCAGCAAUGCGGAGCUAAUCCCAAAAACUCGUUCUCAGUUCGGAUUGUCGGCUGAAACUCGCCGGCAUGAAGUUGGAAUCGCUAGUAACCGUGUGUCAGCAAGGCACGGUGAAUACGUUCUCGGAUCUUGUACACACCGCCCGUCAAGUUAUGGGAGUUGAGGGGACCCGAAUGUCGUUACAACGGCAGAAGGUCAAAUCAGCGACUGUAAUUAAGUCGUAACAAGGUAGCCG
rnacentral:rRNA from 1 species